AAGGAUCAUUACCAGAAAGGAACCAGUUUCCUUGGGGCUCGCCCCCAUCUCUUCACCCCGUGUCAACUUACCAUUGUUGCUUUGGCGGGUUGCGGGCGUCCCCUCCCUCCGGCGGCGCCCCCCGCCAGAAGCCCAGUUAAAUCCGUUUUCAGCGUCGUCCGAGUGAUAAACCAAUCGUUAAAAAACUUUCAACAACGGAUCUCUUGGUUCUGGCAUCGAUGAAGAACGCAGCGAAAUGCGAUAAGUAAUGUGAAUUGCAGAAUUCAGUGAAUCAUCGAAUCUUUGAACGCACAUUGCGCCCUUCGGAAUUCCGGGGGGCAUGCCUGUUCGAGCGUCAUUGCACCCCUCAAGCUCCGGCUUGGUCCUGGGCCUUCGCCACCCCGGCGUGCCCGAAAAUCAGUGGCGGUCCGGAACGACUUUAAGCUCAGUAAUUGUAUCUCCCGCUUUGAAAGUCUGCACCGUGGCGUGCCAAAACCCCCCGAAAUUCAAUGGUUGACCUCGGAUCAGGUAGGGAUACCCGCUGAACUUAA
rnacentral:rRNA from 1 species